rnacentral:rRNA from 1 species
UACGUAGGGUGCGAGCGUUAAUCGGAAUUACUGGGCGUAAAGCGUGCGCAGGCGGUUCGUUGUGUCGGUGGUGAAAGCCCCGGGCUUAACCUGGGAAUGGCCGUUGAAACUGGCGAACUGGAGUGUGGCAGAGGGGGGUGGAAUUCCGCGUGUAGCAGUGAAAUGCGUAGAGAUGCGGAGGAACACCGAUGGCGAAGGCAGCCCCCUGGGCUGACACUGACGCUCAGGCACGAAAGCGUGGGGAGCAAACAGG